rnacentral:rRNA from 1 species
GACGAACGCUGGCGGCGUGCUUAACACAUGCAAGUCGAACGGAAAGGCCCUGCUUUUGUGGGGUGCUCGAGUGGCGAACGGGUGAGUAACACGUGAGUAACCUGCCCUUGACUUUUGGAUAACUUCAGGAAACUGGGGCUCAUACCGGAUAUGAUCUCCUGCUGCAUGGUGUGGGUUGGACAGUUUCGGCGGUUGGUGAUGGACUCGCGGCUUAUCAGCUUGUUGGUGGGGUAGUGGCUUACCAAGGCUUUGACGGGUAGCCGGCCUGAGAGGGUUAACGGCCACAAUGGGACUGAGAUAGGGACCAGACGGCUACGGGAGGCAGCAGGGGGGAAUAUUGCACAAUGGGCGGAAGCGUGAUGCAGAAACGCCGCGUGCGGGAUGACGGCCUUCGGGUUGUAAACCGAUUUCGCCGGUGACGAAGCGGGAGUGACGGUAAUGGGUAAAGAAGCACCGGCUAACUACGUG